UACGUAGGGUGCAAGCGUUAAUCGGAAUUACUGGGCGUAAAGCGUGCGCAGGCGGCUAUGCAAGACAGAUGUGAAAUCCCCCGGGCUCAACCUGGGAACUGCAUUUGUGACUGCAUGGCUAGAGUACGGCAGAGGGGGAUGGAAUUCCGCGUGUAGCAGUGAAAUGCGUAGAUAUGCGGAGGAACACCGAUGGCGAAGGCAAUCCCCUGGGCCUGUACUGACGCUCAUGCACGAAAGCGUGGGGAGCGAACAGG
rnacentral:rRNA from 1 species